rnacentral:rRNA from 1 species
GACGGGGGGUCCUAGCGUUGUUCGGAAUCAUUGGGCGUAAAGCGUGUGCAGGUGGUUUUUCAAGUUAGAUGUGAAAUCCUUGGGCUUAACCCAAGAAGUGCAUUUAAAACUGUAAAACUUGAAUAUGGAAGAGGGUCGUGGAAUUCCAGGUGUAGUGGUGAAAUACGUAGAUAUCUGGAGGAACACCGGUGGCGAAGGCGGCGACCUGGUCCAAUAUUGACACUCAUACACGAAAGCGUGGGGAUCAAACAGG